rnacentral:pre_miRNA from 1 species
UAAUUACUCCCUCCAUCCCAAAAUUCUUGUCUUAGAUUUGUCUAGAUACCGUAUCUAGACAAAUCUAAGACAAGAAUUUUGGGACGGAGGGAGUACAAG